rnacentral:rRNA from 1 species
GACGAACGCUGGCGGCGUGCUUAACACAUGCAAGUCGAACGGAAAGGCCUGCAGCUUGCCGCGGGUACUCGAGUGGCGAACGGGUGAGUAACACGUGGGUGAUCUGCCUUGCACUUCGGGAUAAGCUUGGGAAACUGGGUCUAAUACCGGAUAGGACAGCUGUUUAGUGUCAGUUGUGGAAAGUUUUUUCGGUGCAAGAUGAGCUCGCGGCCUAUCAGCUUGUUGGUGGGGUAAUGGCCUACCAAGGCGUCGACGGGUAGCCGGCCUGAGAGGGUGUACGGCCACAUUGGGACUGAGAUACGGCCCAGACUCCUACGGGAGGCAGCAGUGGGGAAUAUUGCACAAUGGGCGGAAGCCUGAUGCAGCGACGCCGCGUGGGGGAUGAAGGCCUUCGGGUUGUAAACUCCUUUCGACAGGGACGAAGCGUAAGUGACGGUACCUGUAUAAGAAGCACCGGCUAACUACGUGCCAGCAGCCGCGGUAAUACGUAGGGUGCGAGCGUUGUCCGGAAUUACUGGGCGUAAAGAGCUCGUAGGUGGUUUGUCGCGUCGUCUGUGAAAUUCCGGGGCUUAACUCCGGGCGUGCAGGCGAUACGGGCUGACUUGAGUGCUGUAGGGGAGACUGGAAUUCCUGGUGUAGCGGUGAAAUGCGCAGAUAUCAGGAGGAACACCGAUGGCGAAGGCAGGUCUCUGGGCAGUAACUGACGCCGAGGAGCGAAAGCAUGGGUAGCGAACAGGAUUAGAUACCCUGGUAGUCCAUGCCGUAAACGGUGGGCGCUAGGUGUAGGGGGCUUCCACGUCUUCUGUGCCGUAGCUAACGCAUUAAGCGCCCCGCCUGGGGAGUACGGCCGCAAG